UCCUUUCCUGCUUUGCAUGGCUGGCUCCUUCCCAGCAUGCUGGCCUCCCCUCAACAGCACCUCCUCCAAGUGGCCUUCCCUGUCUAAAACCCGAUUCUCUAUCACAUGACCAAGCUAUUUCCUUCCAGUACUGUUGCUAUCUAAAAUGGUAUUGCUUGUUUUUUUCUUUGUCUAUUGUUUGCCUCUCCUUAUUGGAAUUCAAGCUGUUGCCUCUAGAACAGUGCCUGACCCAUAGUAGGUGUUCCACAGAACAUUUGUUACAUGAAUGAAUUCCUAACAAGAAAUAUGGUUGCAGCUUCCAGAAACUCCAUCUGGAAUUCACAGAAAGUUGAUAAUGACUCUAAAUUUCACUUAUCUGUUAUCUCUAGACUGAUGCCCUCCUUCUUCACUACUCUCUCCCUCACCCUGUGAUCUUUCUCUCCUUCUUUCUUACAACCCCUCCUCUCUUUUCCCUUCCCCUUCCUUUCACUUGUACUCUGCUCUUUCCUCUAUCUUUUCCUUGCUGCUUGCCCAGGAUGCAGGCAACUCGGUAGACAAGACAAGGAAACAGUCCCACCUGGUUUACUCACAAUGGCCAUUGUCAUGACUAAGAAAAAUUUUUUACUGGUUCAUGGAUGUCUAUGUGACAGUCUAUCCCAGGAACCCCAGACAGCCCUAGGGUGCUGAACAGACAGCCUGGCACCCUGAUGAGCUUGUCCCUUCUGAGAUUACUGUAGUUUAGAGUAUAUUUGUCAGCAUGAAUUUUGGGCCUAGGUGCUGGAAAUGAACAGGAGCCUUCAGCAGAAAGUCAAAAUGUUUCCUUCCAAUCCUGCUGAAUGAUAAUGUUCCAGGGAGACCAGCACUUGGAAACAAAAGUGACUACUCUUUUGUCCUAAUCUUAAGUCCCAUCACCUUGGCUGGAAACUCUGAGUUCUGGUAAUGAGUGUUGAGAGGCAAUCUGAGGAUAGUAAUUAGGUAUUAAACCUAGACGGGUACUAA